rnacentral:rRNA from 1 species
CCUACGGGAGGCAGCAGUGGGGAAUAUUGCACAAUGGGCGCAAGCCUGAUGCAGCCAUGCCGCGUGUGUGAAGAAGGCCUUCGGGUUGUAAAGCACUUUCAGCGGGGAGGAAGGCGUUAAGGUUAAUAACCUUGUCGAUUGACGUUACCCGCAGAAGAAGCACCGGCUGACUCCGUGCCAGCAGCCGCGGUAAUACGGAGGGUGCAAGCGUUAAUCGGAAUUACUGGGCGUAAAGCGCACGCAGGCGGUCUGUCAAGUCGGAUGUGAAAUCCCCGGGCUCAACCUGGGAACUGCAUUCGAAACUGGCAGGCUAGAGUCUUGUAGAGGGGGGUAGAAUUCCAGGUGUAGCGGUGAAAUGCGUAGAGAUCUGGAGGAAUACCGGUGGCGAAGGCGGCCCCCUGGACAAAGACUGACGCUCAGGUGCGAAAGCGUGGGGAGCAAACAGGAUUAGAUACCCCGGUAGUC